GUGCCAGCAGCCGCGGUAAUACGAAGGUUGCAAGCGUUACUCGGAAUUACUAGGCGUAAAGGGCAGGUAGGUGGUUUGGUAAGUCUGUUGUGAAAGCUCCUGGCUUAACUGGGAGAGGUCAAUAGAUACUGCCGGACUUGAGUAUAGGAGAGGUUACUGGAAUUCCCGGUGUAGCGGUGAAAUGCGCAGAGAUCGGGAGGAACACCAAUGGCGAAAGCAGGUAACUGGACUAUUACUGACGCUAAGCUGCGAAAGCUAGGGGAGCAAACAGGAUUAGAAACCCCAGUAGUCC
rnacentral:rRNA from 1 species